rnacentral:lncRNA from 1 species
GGCUCUUCUAGCUUUUACAGAAUGAGCUCAUUAUCAUUUUCCUCAAGCCUGAAUGUGGGCCUGUCUCUUCCACACCUUUUGGGGGAUGAUCUUGCUUCCUAGGUGGAGAAAUAAUUGAGACAUAGUAAAAGAUCCUGUGUCAUCCUGUGAGAGCCUCAGAAACUCUCGGUCACCUGCACCCCUCCUUACUUCUCAAGACAAAACAUUCUCAUCACUGUUUGUAUUUCUCAGGACUCUUGUGAGAAGGACAACACUGGCUUGGGUGACCAAAGUGUCCCUGCAUGCAUGUGUUCAGGAUCCAGAGAAGAGUGAUUCUUCAAUUCCAAGGAUAGACAUCAGUACUUUGAAUCAUGUUUUACUCAGUUUUUUCACUAGUGACCAAAAGAUCUGAUGAGAAUGAUUUUAGAGGAGGAAAAGUUUAUUUCAGAGAUCUCAGUCCACAGACGGCUGACUCUGUAGGUUCUGGGCCCAUGUUGAGACAGAGCAUCUGGGUGGAAGGGCAUGGAGGAGGAAAACAGCUCAGGAUUUAACUCCUGGAAGCAGAGAGAGCUCAGCUCACCAGGAACAAACAAACUAUAAAUCCCCCAAGGCAUGCCUCCAGCGACUCACCUCCUCCAGCCACACCUUAGGUACUGUGCCCACAGUUCCCACCCAGGUUAAUACCCUCUAGGGGAUGAAUGCACUGAUUAGGUAAAGGCUCCUGUCACCCAAUCAUUUCACUCUGAAUUUACUUUCACUGUCCCACACAGGAGCUCAA